AAAAUUUCGUUAUUUUUCAGACAAAGUUUCAAACCUAAUCAAAAUGCCGAUCGAGAAGCGAGUACCUCCCAAGAACCCUAAGAAGGAUCUGGUUGCGAAAGAGACUGCUGAGAGAGCUGAGACUAAAGCAAAGGCGGCAGCUGAGCCUACUGAGGAGAAGACUAAGGGUAAGAAGGGAGGAAAGAAGUAGUCUGCAAUAUGGAGGACUACAAGACUACCUGGACAAGAAACAAGGACUACUCAGCUUGAUUUCUUGUCAAAAUAUUCAAUAUUUCCACUUAAUUUAUUAUUGCAUUUAUUAUUGCAUUUGCAAAUGAUAGGUAAAUAAUUUUAACAUUUCCAGAUUAAAUCCCUUUGAUAUAAAAAUGCCAAAGGACAAUAAAUCUGCUGCUCCCAAGAAAGGAGGAGAGAAGGAGGCUAAGGUUGAAGACAAGAAACCAAAGGCGGCAGAUGAACCUACUGAGGAGAAGACUAAGGGUAAGAAGGGAGGAAAGAAGUAGUCUGCAAUAUGGAGGACUACAAGACUACCUGGACAAGAAACAAGGACUACUCAGCUUGAUUUCUUGUCAAAAUAUUUGAAAAUUUCCACUUAAUUUAUUAUUGCAUUUAUUAUUGCAUUUGCAAAUGGUAAAUAAUUUUAACAUUUCCAGAUUAAAUCCCUUUGAUAUAAAAAUGCCAAAGGACAAGAAGUCUGCUGCUCCUAAGAAAGGAGGAGAGAAAGAGGCUGGAAAGGAGGCCAAGGUUGAGGAUAAAAAACCAAAGGAGGCUGCGAAACCCGAAGCUAAGGCUAAGAAAGGAGGAAAGAAGUAAUUGAAAAAAUUCUCAAACCAAAAAUUUAUUGUUCAACGUUUACCAUGCACUUGCCUGAAACGUGGUUAUGUAACUGUUCUAGUCAGCUAUGCACAUUGCACAAUAUGCAUAAUCUCAUUAUUAACGCCAACUCAAUGUAAUCUAUAGAUAUUUAUGUAAAAUAAAUUUGUUUUUAUUGUAAA